rnacentral:lncRNA from 1 species
UUCACGGCCUCUAACCGUUACCUCUGGGGAGGAAAUUCUUGUCCCUCAAACUUCACUAUAAUAUGAGAAAAGUACAAGCUUUGAGAAUGUCUCUCUUACACUUUUUGAUACAGGAGAUUACUGCUAGGGUAUUAAUGCUUAGGAUAAGGUUCUAUUUAUACUAAGCAUCUCUGUCAUAACCCUGGUGCACUUCACGUUUAAUGACAAAACAUGAUGGGUUUCAUAUGUGUAUAAACCCAAUCUCCAUUUUCCUUGCAGGUCCAUUGACCAAGGCUCAUCUUGCUUGUACGUAAUUUGAGUCAACAUUCACAGUCUCCACCUUUGACCUAAUCACCAACCGACGUUUGCUUUUGUUCCUCGGUUUCUCAGAUUUCUCGAUCUCACUCCCCCGCGACGUUCAGCUCCAAGGCUUCCUCCUGUCUCUGUUGCACAUCUGAGUCUCUCAAUAAUUGUGUAGUCAUCCUUGCAUGUAACGCCGGUGAGAUCCUUUCUUUGUUACCUUGUGUCAGUGAUAUGUCAUAGCAAUCUCUCACAGAUUUAAGCUCAUGACUUUCCAGGUGAAUCCUCUGUUCAUUAUCACCAUCUGACCACAAGACCUGAAGAUUUGAUACUGAAGCCAAUCAAUCAAGAUAAUUACCUUUCCGCCAGACACAUGUAAGGUAAGAAUCUUCUUGUUUUCCUCUGAUGCAUGGAAGGAUAAGUAAAUGAAACCGUCUGUUACAAAUACUUAUCUUUCCAACUGAUGCACGCACAGAUAACCCGAUGCCACUUCCAAUUUCGGAUAACAUCUUUUGAGACCGGAUAUAUGAUAAAUUUCUGAUUUUCAUUUAUGCAUCUCUCGAUACUUGAAGCCGACCAACAACGGCUUGUUUGAACUUCAAUUCAGUUCCUCCUGCGACAAUACACGAACGUCACUAACUGAACACGAGCUACGAUGACCUUCUCAGAAUAAGAAAUCCAAAAUCCAACAGAACUUCAAGGUGCAAUUUCCUAAGCUCUGACAAUGUCUCAAUUCCUUGCAGUUACUUUAUCUCCUGCAACUCAUAACCUCCCAUGUUCCACAUAGAAUUCCAGAUUAAUGGGAGAGAUAGAGAAUGCCCACUUUAAGGUGAAUCCAAACCACACAAGAAUGAGGUAGUCCGCCUGACUAUGUCUCUUUCUUGCAUUUCCUGUGUUGAUUUUUAAAUACAGAAUACUCACUUCUGCAUUUUCUUUAUCCUGCGAGAUUCCAAAUCAACAAAGAAUCCCCUACAGGUUUCCACAAGCUUUCAUCAGGCGAUCACCUUCAGGAACUCAAGCCCCUUCUCGAGCUUGUUUCCAGGUACCGCUUUAGUUAGUAAGUCUGCUGGGUUAGCUGGUGUAUGAAUCUUGUGUAGAGUAACAUCCCCAGCCUCAAUAACAUCUCUGAUGAAAUACAGCUUAGUGUCUAUAUGCUUGGUCCUCUCGUGAAAUCCUCCAUUUUUCGCCAAGUGAAUAGCACUUUGUGAAUCUGAGAAAACCUUAGCUUCAUCCUGUAAAAAACUCAAUUCACUGUCAAACCUCUUUAGCCAUAGAGCUUCCUUAAAGCCCUCUGUUAGUGCCAUAUAUUCAGAUUCUGUAGUCGAUAAUGCUACAAUGUGUUGGUCAUGUCAGUUUCUGGCCUUGCUACCAUCGACUCUCCUUGCACCACUCUCCCUUGUAGAUAGUACAAUCCGUCUUGGUAUUUUCCAGAAAUUACCUUCUGUCCAUUUUUGUAGAAAGUGACUACAAAAUCCUUUCCCUCGUAUCUGCAGCCAUUCUUUUCCAACUGUCCAUAGGAAAUUAGAUUUCUCCCCAUUGUUGGCAUAUACCGAACCUCUGCCAGAAUAACCACAGAAUUAUCUGGAUUCAAGAUUUUAAUCUUGCCAAGCCCCUUCACCUUGCUAUGCGUCAUAUUUCCCAUCAAGACUUUUCCUCCAUCAAGCUCUUGUAGAUCAAACAAAGACUCUUUAUAUGGAGUUAUAUGGAAGCUACAGCCUGAGUCCAUGACCCAAGCGCCUUUGGAGUCAUGUUUGCUUGCUGUAAGAACAAGCGGCUCUUUCACCUUCUAUGUCACCUUUGUCGCAACGUUUGCAGAGCUGCUUGGCUUCUUUCCAUGUCUAUCUGGACACUCCCUCUUCCAGUGUCCUUCUUUACCGCAUAAGAAACAACCUGUAGUGUUCUUAUUAUACUUAGGUCUUGACUUUGAUCUACCUCUUGACUUGGACCUCGGUUUGUAGUUUCCUUUUUCUGAUCUUCUUUCAGACCUGCCUCUAGACUCAACAUACAAACCUUCUGAGUUUCCUCUGGUUCUGUUCAGGAGACCUUUCUCCUUUAAUUCCACUUCUUUAGAAUACGCUGAAGUAGUAACAUCACUUACUGAAAAUGUGUCUUUACCACUACCAUACUUGAGAGUGUGAACCAAGGCUUCGUACAGUGGUGGAAGGCUAGUAAGUAGUUGAAUAUCCUGAUCCUCGUCACUUAUGCUUAUAUUCAGACGUGCAAGAUCAUCCACAAGCUUUUGAAAACUGUCCAGGUUUUCUUCAAUACUUUUGUUCUCCUCCAUCUUGAAACUAGCAAAUCUCUGCUUCAGAUAGAUCCUAUUGGGUAAAGUUUUCGCCUGGUAGUCAGUCUCAAGAGCCUUCCAAAUCCCAGCAGCAGUAGGCUCUUUCAUGACCUUCCUUAGGAUCUGAUCGCUUAGACACAUCUUAAUAAGAUUCUUCACCCGUUUAUCCUUCUCAACAAACUUUGGACCCUUUCCUGGUUGCUGGCCUUCAUCUUGCUUGUCUGGUUCUGACUGAGAAGUCUCAACCUCUUCCAACACAGACUCUAAGCCCAUGAGCUCCAGCUGACAUAGCACCUUAUGUUUCCAUAAUCCAAAAUCGCCUUUACCAUCAAAUUUUUCUACAUCCAGUCUGCUUUGAGUGUGUUCCAUGCUAAUGUAUUUGACCCUUGAUUUCAGGAACCAGAUUCAAAUACAAGAACAACCUUAACUCGCCUGAGUUUCGGGUUGUGUAACGCCCUCCUCAACACAACAGAAAACUAGCUCAAGAGAUAUGAUGAACCAAAUCCGGAUAACAACUUCUACUCCUGGUUGCAGCGACUAUCUUCAGAAAACUUACUGCACCUCAAACCAAUAAAUCCCAGAAAUUCCAACUGAAGAAACAACCAGUAAGAGUUUCUUCUAACCUGUAGAUCUUUUUCUUUUGGUCGACGAUCGGUUUAGCUUUAACCAAAUGCGCUCUGAUACCACUUGUGAGGGUUUGAUCGUUUGCUAAAACCAAUUUAGAGUAAGCAUAAACUGUAAAAGACACAAACACUUUUGACCCAGUUCACGGCCUCUAACCGUUACCUCUGGGGAGGGAACUCUUGUCCCUCAAGCUUCACUAUAAUCUGAGAAAAGUACAAGCUUUGAGAAUGUCUCUCUUACACUUUUGUAUUAAUGCUUAGGAUAAAGUUCUAUUUAUACUAAGCAUCUCUGUCAUAACCCUUGUGCACUUCACGUUUAAUGACAAAACGUGAUGGGUUUCAUAUGUGUAUAAACCCAAUCUCCAUUUUCCUUGCAGGCCCAUUGACCAAGGCUCAUCUUGCUUGUAUGUGAUUUGAGUCAACAUUCACAAGUUCAAAAAAAAAACUUGUACUACAGCCGAUAUAUGCUCUACAAAUAGAGUAACAUGCAAUGAAAAUCUGCGACG